AUUGAACGCUGGCGGCAUGCCUUACACAUGCAAGUCGAACGGCAGCGGGGGAGAAGCUUGCUUUUCCUGCCGGCGAGUGGCGAACGGGUGAGUAAUACAUCGGAACGUGCCCUGUAGUGGGGGAUAACUAGUCGAAAGAUUAGCUAAUACCGCAUACGACCUGAGGGUGAAAGUGGGGGACCGCAAGGCCUCAUGCUAUAGGAGCGGCCGAUGUCUGAUUAGCUAGUUGGUGGGGUAAAGGCCUACCAAGGCGACGAUCAGUAGCUGGUCUGAGAGGACGAUCAGCCACACUGGGACGGAGACACGGCCCAGACUCCUACGGGAGGCAGCAGUGGGGAAUUUUGGACAAUGGGCGAAAGCCUGAUCCAGCAAUGCCGCGUGUGUGAAGAAGGCCUUCGGGUUGUAAAGCACUUUUGUCCGGAAAGAAAUGGCUCUGGUUAGUACCUGGGGUCGAUGACGGUACCGGAAGAAUAAGGACCGGCUAACUACGUGCCAGCAGCCGCCGUAA
rnacentral:rRNA from 1 species